CAUGGUUCUUCUCCGAAACCGCCCAAGUUCGAAGCGCUCAGAAGCACUAUUUGAUAAGUGAUAUCACCCCCAACAAUAUAAAUAGAAUCAGCCCCGCAUGUUGAGGAAGAAGAUGUCUCGUAUUGGAUCAACGAGUCAGAAACACUCGGCAGAUAGAAUCAAUCAUAUCGAGACAAAGACAGCCUCGCCAGCAAAAAUAGCAAACGACGGUCCACUAUCGCGAACAGAUAACUUUAAUUCUAUUGCAGAGAAUGCACAUCCAAGUUACCGAGCGAAGGCUAGAGCAGAAAUCUUGCUGCACUCAUUGUACCGCCAGAUCAAUAUGUGUGCCCAAGUCCAAUUGCUGAGUGCCCGGUUCACUCGUUCGAGCCGGGAAGUACUGACGGACAAAACGAGAGAGAAGGACAUGCUGAGUCAGAAAUAUGCUGUGAAAGCACUGGGUUUGAUCAUGGAGGCCAAGGGCAAUAUGGUCGGAAGAAAGCGGCGGAAAUCUGUGAGAACUGCAUCUCAUCAGCGUACCAAGAGGCGCCAGAGGUCGGGGACACCCGAAAUACUCAAGACAGCAAAGAGACGCCUGACUCAUGCGUGGGAAUGUUUUAAAAGAGACCCAGAGGUGUUUUCAAUAUGCGCACGUUCAAUGGCAUUCAGGGCAGCUCUUUUGAAGGAGCCAGCACUGGUGUGGGACUCGUUCGAAAACCUUCUGAAGGAGAAUUUUGUUAGUAUCCUGGCAUUUGCUCAGACGAGGCGCCUAGACACCAAAGCAUUGCUUCCCCAUGACGGCCCUAUCCCGCACCCUAUACAGGCGGGAGGGAGGAGUGUAGGGACACUGCAUCCGCAUGAGGUUGUGGUCAACCUCAAAUGCCAGUAUCUAAAACGACCACGUUUCGAAAGUCAUUAUCAAAAGAAC
rnacentral:sRNA from 1 species